rnacentral:lncRNA from 1 species
CAUGGGUCCUUGCUGCCCUGGGCGGGACUGGUUCUGUGGUUGGCCUUCUUGGCUGUGGAGUGUGCUGCCAGUCCAUCCGUGGGUCAUGUUUGUCUUCCACAGCCUCAUCUACAUUAGGUGAAUGACCUAAUUCUUCUGCCCACGUGAUGGUGCCAUGUCAUAGUCUGGCACUGACGUUUCUCAGUGCUGGUUGUUGCAUAAGAUAUCUGCCAUGCUCUGAGGGGGGCACAGGUUAAAGGCUGAGUGCAGCCAGGAGCCAGCCUGAGGCCUGUCAGGACACCGGACAUGCAGCUCCAGGUAAGUUGGCAGGUGAGGCAGCCAGGGAAAAGGUGUUAGGAGCAGUAGCCUGGGGAGCCGAAGGCCUGGGACCUCAUGAGAGAGGUUAGUCUGCAGGGAAUGUGCAGGGAAGCCUGAGGGGCAGGGACUAGGCUGUAAGGAAGUGACCUGGACUAGGUGGGCCUCCUUAGUUGCUCUUUUUCUUUGGCUGCUAGAAAACCCUUGAUUCAGCAUCUUUCACAAAAGACCAGGGUUCUGUGGAGCCUGGUGGUGCAAGCCUGUAAUCCCAGGGACUCGGAUGGCUGAGGCUGGAAGAUUGCAAGUUCAAAGUCAGCCUUAGCAAGUUGGUGAGACCCUGCUAAAAACAUAAAAAUGUCUGGGGAUGUGACUCCGUGGUUCAGCACAUCUGGGUUCAAUCCCUGGUGCAAAAAAAAAAAAAAAAAAAAAAUCACAGUUUAUCUUCAUUGGGGUCCUAGUAUGCUGCUGGCUGCCCUUGAGGCUGAGCUGCCAGGUGUCUGCCCUGCUGCUGGCCCUGAGCACCCACCCUGCACUGGGGAGACCACGCCCUUUGUGGAAUGUGGCAGGUUUCAGGCUCUAAUCAUGUGAUCUGCAUUUAACAGGAAAUUCUUGCCAGGCUUUCCUCUCAACCCUGAGGUGUGAUGGAGACAGUCAAAUUCCUUUCCUGCCAGAGAGGAGGGCCACCACUUCUCCAAUAGUGGCCCCCAAUCUACACUUAGCUCUCCUGGUCCUAGAGGGUGAGGUACAUGAAGCCCCGAAGAGUACCUCCUUGUCCUUGGGCAUCACUGCUGCCACUCCCACAAGAUGUCAGGGGACUCCUGUGUGGCGGCUGGGAGGCCAAAACUGUAUUGAUAUUGAGUGAAUUAAACUGAUGUCUCUGUGAUGGGGGUCU